UCACGUCAGCUAGAAAAAUGUCCGUUAAUAAGGCUGCAUACUUGGGGAUCGCGUGGCCUGCCUGAGUGGGGGAGGAGCUGGCCUGCUGUUCAUUUUACUCUCUUGCCUCAUCGGAGAAUAAUUUCUCUUUUUUUAGUCACUUACCACCACGGAUGAAGUUAGACGGUUGCGGAUACUAGCUUGUAGGGAUUCUGAGCCGUUUUCCUCUCUUUUUAACUUGUUUAAAUGGGUUUUUAUUGACACCACGCCGACGCCAGAACGCUUUCAGUAACAGCCUAACCCGUUGGACCUACCUUAUUUCCUUUGUGUUGCAUUUCGCGUGCAAAGGUUGUUUUGAUAAACUAAUCAGUUUGUAGCAUACUUAUUAUGGGCUAGAUUUAAAAUUUUUUUGUAUCCUUUGUAUAGGUCUCAGGUGAGGACUUCUGGGCAUACAUUUAUUCUGGAAGCACAUUGUUCUGUUCAGAAGUAGGGGUGUGUGUGUGUACAGUAGGCUUCAUGCCCAGUGUGGAACCCAGCACAGAGCCCAAUGCAGGGAUUGAACAUGACCCUGAGAUCAAGACCUGAGCUGAGAUCAAGACUUGGAUGCUUAACCAACUGAGCCACCCAGAGAUGUAUCUAGUAAGAAGUUGCUACAGCCUGGCCCCUGUCAAAGAGGUUACUGUUUGUGUACUCCUCUAGGACUUUGAUGGUUUCCUCUCCCACGCAAAGGUAGGUCUUUCAUCCAUUUUGAAUUUAUUUUUUUGUAUGGUAUAAGAAAGUGGCCAGUGUCAUUCUUCUGCCUGUUGCUGUCCAGUUUUCCCAACCCCAUUUGUUGAAGAGAGUGUCUUAUUCCCAUGGGAUAUUCUUUCCAGCUUUGUGGAAGAUCAGUUGACCAUAUAGUUGUGAGUUCAUUUCUGGGUUUUCUAUUGUUCCAUUGAUGUAUGUGUUUAUUUUUGUGCCAAUUCCAUACUGUCUUGAUCACUACAGGUUUCUUUUUUUUAAAAAAAAAAUUUUUUUUAAUGUUUAUUUAUUUUUGAGACAGAGAGAGACAGAGCAUGAAUGGGGGAGGAUCAGAGAGAGGGAGACACAGAAUCCGAAACAGGCCCCAGGCUCCGAGCUGUCAGCACAGAGCCCGACGCGGGGCUCGAACUCGCGGACCGCGAGAUGAUGACCUGAGCCGAAGUUGGCCGCUUAACCGACUGAGCCACCCAAGCGCCACGAUCACUACAGGUUUCUAAUAUAGCUUGAAGUCCAGAAUUGUGAUGCCUCGAGCUUAGCUUUUCUUUUUCAAGAUUUCUUUGGCUAUCUGGGGUCUUUUGUGGCUCUAUAUAAAUUUAAGGAUUGUUCUAGCUAUGUGAAAAAUGCUGGUGGUGUUUUGAUAGGUGUUAUAUGAAAUGUGUAGAUUGCUUUGGGUAGUAUAGACAUUUUAACAAUAUUUGUUGUAAUCCAUGAAUGUGGAAUGUUUUUUCAUUUCUUUUUUUUAUUUUAAAAGGUUUCUUUCUUUUUUAAUUUAUUUUGAGAGAAACA